ACUUUCGUUUGAACCGAAGCCAGCUGGUUGGAGCCAGGAUUGCCCGGAUGGAUACCAUCUACCGGGAGUCCAUCAGCCCAGUUGAACGCCUGGCGAUUUGUCUCCGGCCACAUGUGUUCUCCACAACUACCUGCGGAGGUCAUUCCAGGAGCCGCUCCGGAUGGAGAUGGGCACGCCAAAUGGUCACCUACCUGAUGUCACCAGGGCAGGUGCCAACAACGCCCGCAGACAGGCACUCCAGGUGAGGGAGAAGCUGACCACCUACUUCUCAUCGCCAGCAGGUGAAGUCCCAUAGCAGUAUGCCGUGGAGUGAAACAGCUCUUUUAAGAGCCACAUAACACAAAGGUUAUUUUAAGAACCAUCCACCGUUGUCCAUAAAAUUGCAUUUUUUUCCGCAGAUUACUUUAUGUAUCAUUGUCUCUCUUCAUUUGGAAGCUAUAUUUAAGUGACAUUUGGGAGUAAAGACCACACCUUA